GGGGGAGGGGUAUGGAGGUGGAGGCAAGGAGGGAUGGGCCGUCGAAGAGCAGCAGUCCAAGGGAAGUCUCUUCUGGGCACCACCUUUGAAAUAAAUCUGUUCCAAUGGUUUUGUUGUUGCUGUAAACUUUUUUUUUUUUUUUUUUUUUUUUUUGAGACGCAGUCUCCCUCUGCUGCCCAGGCUGGAGUGCAGUGAUAGAUCUUGGCCCAUUGCAACAUCCGCCUCCCCUGUUCAAGCGACUCUCAUGCCUCAGGCUUCCAAAUAGCUGGGAUUACAGGUAUGCGCCACCACGCCCAGCUAAUUUUUGUAUUUUCAGGCUGGUCUCAAACUCCUGACCUCAGGUGAUCUGCUUGCCUCAGAUCCCCAAAGUGCUGGGGUUACAGGCCCAGCUAAUUUUUAUAUUUUCAGGCUGGUCUCAAACUCCUGAUCUCAGGUGAUCUGCUUGCCUCAGAUCCCCAAAGUGCUGGGAUUACAGGCCGGAACCAUGGCGCUGGCCUGUUGUAAAUUCUAAUGCCACCUGCACUCUGGGGUCAAAUUCCAGAGGGGAGUUGUCUGAAUGGCCUGGUUUUGUCACACCCUCUAGAAGAGGGGACACAUUAGCUGACACUAUAUAAUGAGGAGCAGGCCAUUCUCCAAGGAAAAUCCAUUCUGUUUCGGGGGGGAGGUUUGAUAAAGGCCAUGGAGGAAGAGGGAGGCACAUCUACUUGUUUUUCGUUGUUGUUUGUUUUUUUAUGAGAUGGAGUCUUGCUCUGUCACCCAGGCUGGAUUGCGUGGUGUGAUCUAAAGUGCUGGGAUUACAGGCCUGAGCCACCGCGCCCACGUGGCCCCAUCUACUCGUAGAGGGGGAUUGAAGGCGGGGGAAGAGGAGGUGGGGGAUUUGUCCAGCAAAGGAUGCAGCAAAUGCCCAGCCCCAGGGAGGAGCCUGUCCUGGGGAGCGACAGCCUGAAGGCCUCCAAGUGGGGAGGGCGCUGGAGGAGGGGCCUGAGAGGCAGGCCUUGAUGAAUUGUUUGGAUUUUUUUCUAAGUGCAUUGGAAGCCACAGGAAGAUUUUUUUUUUUUUUUUUUUUUGGAUGGAGUCUCGCUCUGUCGCCCAGGCUGGAGUGCAAUGCGCCAUCUCGGCUCACUGCAACCUUCGCCUCCCGGUUUCAAGUGAUUCUCCGGCCUCAGCCCCCCGAGCAGCUGGGAAUACAGGUGCGUGCCACCACCCCCGAGUAAUUUUUUGUAUUUCUAGUAGAGACAGAGUUUCAUUGUGUUAGCCAGGAUGGUCUUGAUCUCCUGACCUCGUGAUCCGCCCACCUCAGCCUUCCAAAGUGCUGGGAUUACACGCAUGGUUACAGGCCAGCCAUAGGAGGAUCUUUAGAAGGAAAACAGCUGCCCCACGUGGUGGCUCGCACCUGCAUUUCAGCACUUUGGAAGCUGGAGGUGGGAGCAUUGCUUGGGCCCAGCGAUGGGAUGUGGGGGACGGGUGGGCGGAAGUAAUAAAAAGAAUAACAUGAUCUGAUUUUCUCUUUUAUUUAUUUAUUUUGAGACAGGGUCUCACACUAUUGCCCAGAAUGGAGUGCAGUGGCAGGAUCUCAGCUCACUGCAACCUCCACCUCCCGGGUUCAAGACAUUCUUCAUGCUUCAGCUUCCCAAGUAGCUGGGACUACAGUCACACACACCACCAUGCCCAGCUAAUUUUUGUACUUUUAGUAGAGACAGAGUUUCUCCCUGUUGGCCAGGCUGGGCUCAAACUCCUGACCUCAGG
rnacentral:lncRNA from 10 species